GUAGGGUGCAAGCAUUAUCCGGAGUAACUGGGCGUAAAGAGUUGCGUAGGUGGUUUGUUAAGUGAAUGGUGAAAUCUGGCGGCUCAACCGUACAGACUAUUAUUCAAACUGGCAAACUCGAGAAUGGUAGAGGUAACUGGAAUUUCUAGUGUAGGAGUGAAAUCCGUAGAUAUUAGAAGGAACACCAAUGGCGUAGGCAGGUUACUGGACCAUCUCUGACACUGAGGCACGAAAGCGUGGGGAGCGAACCGGAUUAGAUACCCGGGUAGUCCACGCCGUAAACUAUGGAUACUAGCUGUUGGGGUAUCGACCCCCCCAGUAGCGAACKAACGCGUUAAGUAUCC
rnacentral:rRNA from 1 species